GAUGAGUAGGGCGGGACACGUGGUAUCCUGUCUGAAUAUGGGGGGACCAUCCUCCAAGGCUAAAUACUCCUGACUGACCGAUAGUGAACCAGUACCGUGAGGGAAAGGCGAAAAGAACCCCGGCGAGGGGAGUGAAAAAGAACCUGAAACCGUGUACGUACAAGCAGUGGGAGCACAGAGCAAUCUGUGUGACUGCGUACCUUUUGUAUAAUGGGUCAGCGACUUAUAUUCUGUAGCAAGGUUAACCGAAUAGGGGAGCCGAAGGGAAACCGAGUCUUAACUGGGCGUUAAGUUGCAGGGUAUAGACCCGAAACCCGGUGAUCUAGCCAUGGGCAGGUUGAAGGUUGGGUAACACUAACUGGAGGACCGAACCGACUAAUGUUGAAAAAUUAGCGGAUGACUUGUGGCUGGGGGUGAAAGGCCAAUCAAACCGGGAGAUAGCUGGUUCUCCCCGAAAGCUAUUUAGGUAGCGCCUCGUGAAUUCAUCUCCGGGGGUAGAGCACUGUUUCGGCAAGGGGGUCAUCCCGACUUACCAACCCGAUGCAAACUGCGAAUACCGGAGAAUGUUAUCACGGGAGACACACGGCGGGUGCUAACGUCCGUCGUGAAGAGGGAAACAACCCAGACCGCCAGCUAAGGUCCCAAAGUCAUGGUUAAGUGGGAAACGAUGUGGGAAGGCCCAGACAGCCAGGAUGUUGGCUUAGAAGCAGCCAUCAUUUAAAGAAAGCGUAAUAGCUCACUGGUCGAGUCGGCCUGCGCGGAAGAUGUAACGGGGCUAAACCAUGCACCGAAGCUGCGGCAGCGACACUGUGUGUUGUUGGGUAGGGGAGCGUUCUGUAAGCCUGUGAAGGUGUGCUGUGAGGCAUGCUGGAGGUAUCAGAAGUGCGAAUGCUGACAUAAGUAACGAUAAAGCGGGUGAAAAGCCCGCUCGCCGGAAGACCAAGGGUUCCUGUCCAACGUUAAUCGGGGCAGGGUGAGUCGACCCCUAAGGCGAGGCCGAAAGGCGUAGUCGAUGGGAAACAGGUUAAUAUUCCUGUACUUGGUGUUACUGCGAAGGGGGGACGGAGAAGGCUAUGUUGGCCGGGCGACGGUUGUCCCGGUUUAAGCGUGUAGGCUGGUUUUCCAGGCAAAUCCGGAAAAUCAAGGCUGAGGCGUGAUGACGAGGCACUACGGUGCUGAAGCAACAAAUGCCCUGCUUCCAGGAAAAGCCUCUAAGCAUCAGGUAACAUCAAAUCGUACCCCAAACCGACACAGGUGGUCAGGUAGAGAAUACCAAGGCGCUUGAGAGAACUCGGGUGAAGGAACUAGGCAAAAUGGUGCCGUAACUUCGGGAGAAGGCACGCUGAUAUGUAGGUGAAGUCCCUCGCGGAUGGAGCUGAAAUCAGUCGAAGAUACCAGCUGGCUGCAACUGUUUAUUAAAAACACAGCACUGUGCAAACACGAAAGUGGACGUAUACGGUGUGACGCCUGCCCGGUGCCGGAAGGUUAAUUGAUGGGGUCAGCGCAAGCGAAGCUCUUGAUCGAAGCCCCGGUAAACGGCGGCCGUAACUAUAACGGUCCUAAGGUAGCGAAAUUCCUUGUCGGGUAAGUUCCGACCUGCACGAAUGGCGUAAUGAUGGCCAGGCUGUCUCCACCCGAGACUCAGUGAAAUUGAACUCGCUGUGAAGAUGCAGUGUACCCGCGGCAAGACGGAAAGACCCCGUGAACCUUUACUAUAGCUUGACACUGAACAUUGAGCCUUGAUGUGUAGGAUAGGUGGGAGGCUUUGAAGUGUGGACGCCAGUCUGCAUGGAGCCGACCUUGAAAUACCACCCUUUAAUGUUUGAUGUUCUAACGUGGACCCGUGAUCCGGGUUGCGGACAGUGUCUGGUGGGUAGUUUGACUGGGGCGGUCUCCUCCUAAAGAGUAACGGAGGAGCACGAAGGUUGGCUAAUCCUGGUCGGACAUCAGGAGGUUAGUGCAAUGGCAUAAGCCAGCUUGACUGCGAGCGUGACGGCGCGAGCAGGUGCGAAAGCAGGUCAUAGUGAUCCGGUGGUUCUGAAUGGAAGGGCCAUCGCUCAACGGAUAAAAGGUACUCCGGGGAUAACAGGCUGAUACCGCCCAAGAGUUCAUAUCGACGGCGGUGUUUGGCACCUCGAUGUCGGCUCAUCACAUCCUGGGGCUGAAGUAGGUCCCAAGGGUAUGGCUGUUCGCCAUUUAAAGUGGUACGCGAGCUGGGUUUAGAACGUCGUGAGACAGUUCGGUCCCUAUCUGCCGUGGGCGCUGGAGAACUGAGGGGGGCUGCUCCUAGUACGAGAGGACCGGAGUGGACGCAUCACUGGUGUUCGGGUUGUCAUGCCAAUGGCACUGCCCGGUAGCUAAAUGCGGAAGAGAUAAGUGCUGAAAGCAUCUAAGCACGAAACUUGCCCCGAGAUGAGUUCUCCCUGACCCUUUAAGGGUCCUGAAGGAACGUUGAAGACGACGACGUUGAUAGGCCGGGUGUGUAAGCGCAGCGAUGCGUUGAGCUAACCGGUACUAAUGAACCGUGAGGCUUAACCUU
rnacentral:rRNA from 1 species